AUCAACCGAGAAUGUUUUUAUUACCCCAUCAAUCCUGAAGGAUCAUUUCACCAAAUAGGAAUUUGGAGUUGACAGAGUUUUGUUUUGAGGCAGUCUUGCUCUGUUGCCCAGGCUGGAGUGCAGUGGCAGGAUCUUGGCUCACUGCAACCUCCACCUCCCGGGUUCAAGUAAUUCUCGUGCCUCAGCCUCCCAAGUAGCUGAGAUUACAGGCAUGUGCCACCAUGCCUGGCUAAUUUUUGUAUUUUUAGUAGAGACAGGGUUUUGCCAUGUUGGCCAGGCUGGUCUCAAACUCCUGACUUCAAGAACAAAUCUUUGGCCGGGUAUGGUGGCUUCCGCCUGUAAUCCCAGCACUUUGGGAGGCUGAGGCAGGUGGAUCACUUGAGGCCAGGAGUUCGAGAUCAGCUGGGCAAUAUGGCAAAACCCCAUCUCUACUAGAAAUACAAACACUUAGCCGGGCAUGGUGGCGCACACCUAUAGUCCCAGCUACUCAGGAGAGUGAGGCAGGAGAAUCGCUUGAACCUGGGAGGUGGAGGCUGCAGUGUGCCAAGAUCACACCACUGUACUCCAGCCUGGGUAACAGAGCAAGGUUCCAUCUCAAGAAAAAAUUUUAAAAAAGAACAAAUUUUCAGGGUCCCACUGUUUGAGUCAAGCUACAGCUUUUCUCUGGAAAUUAUAGAAUUAAGCAACAGAGUAUACACUGAGCAUCUCUGGAUGCUUUAAAAAAAAAUUUAAAAAGGAAGGAGAAAGAAAUGGGCAGAAGCAAGAAGGAUUCUGAAGAAGAGCAAACUCUGAGGGGCCAAUGUCUGAACUGUGGGCAGCUGUGCUUCCAUGGGUAGAUGUGACACUUUACAGGUUGGUUCCUUCACCAGCCAGACCUUGCCAAAGAUUAAAGCAGGAGUUCUGGUAAAGCAAAGUGUUGGUCACUGGUGACUAUCUCACACACAUACUUGGGAAAAAAUCCCAAUGUAUGACAAUUACUUCAUGAACAACUGAAACAUCUCACCUCUGGAAAAACUGUAAAAAUUGCAAAUAAAGGAAUUUGGGAUAAGAGGGCAUAUGCUGUAUACAGGCAUCCUCACAAACCGCUGAUUAUAAAGAAAGGACCCUGACAGAAUGUCAAAAAUAGUCCACAAAUUGGAAGGCGUGCACUGAGGCUCCAGGUGGCCAUGAUGCAGCAGACUCUGAACUCCUGUCACUGCAGAGUCACAGCAUUUGGCCGCAGUAGAAGCCAGAACCUAGCACCACAACCAACAUAGUCACAGCAUGGCCAAGGCCCCAGGGAUGUGGGGAAGCCCAGGAAGGCGCCCUCUCAGCACCACUGGGGCCAAAGUGAAAGCUGGACAGGACAAAGCUCCCACCAAAACCACCAUGGCCUUACCCUACUCUCACUGGGGUUCCUGGAGCACCAGAUCAUGGAUGCUGCAUCAACCAGCCCCAGCAAAGGCGCCUUUGGCACACAAUUCCUCAGUGCUACAGCUGGGCUCUGUGCUGAGAGAAACGCAACAGCCAGACCUACCCAGUGGCUUUUCCAAGUUCUCAGGAUUGCUGGGGUCUAGCCAAGUGACCAAAGGCAAGGAAGCAACAGACAGGCUCCGCCACACCAUGGGAGCAAUCCGGUGGCCUGGCACAGAGUGAGCACUCCACACAUGCCCAGCCCUUCCCUGUGCUCCUCCUCCAGGAUGUCCUCUCUCACGCAGUGUCGCUGCCGUCCUUCCACUCACGUCCAUGCUGGACACUGGACCAUCACCUCUGACCCACCCGCUCCUGAUACAUGACUGUUACCAAGUUCUGUCACUUGGAUGCCACGAUGGCUUCACAUCCGUCUUUUGCUUCUCCAGGCCACACCUCUGGUUCAUGCUCUCACCACUGCACACCAGUGUGGCCACAUCUCUCUCCUAAAGAUGGCUCCCCGUAGCCAGUCCCUGGGCAUUACCAAUCUACACAAAUCCACCUUCUUUUAAAACCGAAU
rnacentral:lncRNA from 1 species